CUCUCGUUCACUCUGUCUUCCAGUCUCCUCCAGUUGGUCACGCUAUUGCGAUAUUUCCGCUUCGAAGUUCUAACUCUGGAGACGACGAAGGCGCCAUCCUCCGAGUCCGAAUCAACCCCCUCUGAUGGCGAUCGUCUCCGUCGAGUCUUCCUCCAACCACAUGCAAUUGGAAGCAAUCCCCCUCGUCGAUCUCCGCCUUCUCUCCCAGUCGGAGUUGAACUCUCUCUCUCUCUGCUCUGACGAAGCCUUCGACCUCCGCCGCUGCGACGACGUCAUAAUCCCUAAAAUCGACCGCUCCGUCUUCAACGAGAGCGCUGGUAGCCGAAAGCAAACCUACUCGCGCCUCCGCCUCGCACCUCGGAAGCCAGAAAUUACCAACGUCGGUCGUCGCAGGCGUAGCGCUGGCCUUCUGCCCCUUCCAAAGCCUCCCCCUAACCUCGUCGACGACCCUGAACGAAAGGAGAACCAACGCAUAGCUACCCUUCUUCGAGAGCUCUUCGUGAAGGAUAAAUCCAUAAAACUUGACCUAAUACCUGUUGAUUCCGAACAUAGAGAGCCACAGCCACAGCCACAGCCGCAGCCACAUUCACAGCCACAGCCACAGCCACAGCCACAGCCACAGCCACAGCCACAGCUACAGCUACAGCCUGUGCCAUUGAUGGUCGACAAUGGAGUUUCCCUGCAACAGUUUCCGGUCUUUGUUGCCAGUAAGGAAGUGAAGAAGCGAGGUAGGAAACGGAAGCACGAACUGAAGCCGCCCCAGGUUCAGGGAGAUGGCAACGGCAACGUUAACGUUAUGAGCAAUGCCAUUGUUGUUUAUGAAAACGAGCUGAAUUCCAAAGAUCAAACUAUGGAGAUUGUGAACCGAAAUGGUGUCGCCGUUGAUGUUGCUGCGUUGGCUCAUCUUCAAGAUCCUUUUGGUCCUGAAUUAAGAAGGAGAACCAUUGGUUUGGAGACUGAAGCGGCUUUGUUAGGGUUUCUUAGGCUAUUAAACGGACAGUGGGGCAGCAGGAGGAAGAAGAGGAAAAUUGUCGAUGCAAGUGAUUUUGGAGAUGCGUUGCCCAAAGGUUGGAAGCUUAUGCUCGCCCUCAAGAGAAGAGUAGGCCGCGUGUGGUUAAACUGCCGCCGAUACAUUAGCCCAAAUGGACAUCAGUUUGUCACCUGCAAGGAAGUUUCUUCAUUUUUACUCUCAUAUUUUGGACCUCAAGAUUUAGGCCAGCAAAAUUCUGGUCACAGGGAUAGGAAUACUCAGCAGACUCAGAAAUUGGCCUCUGAAAGUACUGCAGGUCUUACUUUCCAAGAUGUCACCAGCAAGGAAGACCCCAUAUGCUAUUCCACAUCGCCCUUUACAUCUCGAUCAAAUGACCAUGAGAAGCAAGUUGCUUUAUUGGGUGUUGAGAAUCUGGCCGAGGUCCAAGUACGAGAUCUUUUAGAAUGUCACAAAUGCAAUAUGACUUUUCAAGAAAAGGAUGCAUAUUUGCAGCACUUGUUGUCAUCUCACCAGAGGAGUGCAAAACGGUGUAGAGUCGGUUCAUCCAUUACUGAUGGGGUGAUAGUUAAAGAUGGCAAAUACGAAUGCCAGUUCUGCCAUAAAAUUUUUGAAGAAAAGCAUCGCUACACUGGUCAUGUUGGGGUCCAUGUGAGGAACUAUGUCAGGAAUUCUGAAGCUUUACAAAGUCCAAUUACUGUGCAAAAAACCAUUGCUCCUUCAUCUUUGGGUGCUGUUCUUUCUAGUGUCCAUAUGAUGGAUUCAUCAGUUUACAUUAACAAGGGUUCUAUUCCGGAAACUUCUACUGCCAAACCUGAUGUUGAACUGAAUGUUGGCUCUGUUCAUUGUAAGUCGGAUGUGAAUUCUGCCCAGGCAAUUUAUGGUGAAUCCAACUGUGAAUUGCUGAUUAGUUCUUCUGAUGGUAAACAUGUUACAGAGGCUGAUAAGAGUUCUAUUCCUGAAGUUACUAAUGCAAAAUUAGGUGAACUGACUGUUGGUUCUCUUAAUGCUAAACUCGAGGCAGCUUCCUUUCUGGGAACUCCUACUUGUGGAUUCAUCUGUGAACUACAUGUUAAUUCUUCUCAUAGUAAAAAGGUUGAAGUGGCUUACAAGGAUUCUAUUCCAGAAACUACUGCUGCCAGACCAUAUGAUGGACAGAACAUUAGUUCUCUUUGUAGAAAACAGGAUCCAUCUUCCAUUCUGCAACCUCUUUCAGGUGAACCCAAGUUUGAACCUAAUGUUGCUUCUUUUCAUAGUAAUCUGGUCAAGGAGGCUAGAAAGGAAUGUAGUCCAGAAACUUCUACUGUCAAACCUAAUGAUGAACAUAAUGACUCAUUUCACACCAAACUAGAAGAGGUUUCCAUUCAGGAAACACAUAUUGAUAAAUCAAACUUCCAACAUGAUGUUGGCUUUUGUCAUAGUGAACUGAUUACAAAAGCGAGCAAGGAUUCUGUUCCUGAAACAGAAUCUAUUGAUGGAAAUAAUGGUGGUGCACUUCAUAACAAACAGGAUGGAACUCCUACCUGUGAAUCCAACUGGGAUCCUAAUGUUUUUUCUUCUCACAAUGAACAUGAUAUGGAAGAUUGUAAGUUUGAAGGAGCUUUAGUUGAGAAAUCUUACAAUAAAUUAUUUUAUGAUUCUCCGAUGCCUGAUAGUAACUCAGGAAUUACUGGUGAGGCUAACAGUGUUGGAAAUGAUAAAAUCAGUUAUUGCAUGGAUUCUGGAGCUGCUUUGUCUGAUAAGAAGGAAUGCAGUACUUCCAAAACUUUUGAUGGAAAUGAUAGUUCUGCAUUUACUUCAAUUAAAAAUGAUAAGAGUGGUAUUGAGCAAGAAAGGCCUUCUGGAAUUUGUUCACUAAUCCCUGGUAAUGAGAAAAUUUGUGGGCUUGAAGAGAACAUGAGUGAGGUUCUUUCUAGUUUUACAGAGGUGCCCAAAUUGGAUGAUAUGGAAAAGUCGAGGAAUAAAGAACUUGAAAGUGGUUCUGGCAACUAUGAUGCUGGACUAAAUAGGGAUGUUGUAACAGAGACUACUCGGGCCUCUGAUGAAGGAAAUGGACCAGAGAAUGGGGUGGCUGACUCUUCAUUACCAUUGAUGCAGUCAGCAGGUUCUAAUGAUGAACUUGGAAGUGGUUUUGGUGGCUAUGAUACUGGACCCAAUGAGGAUGUUUUAACAGAAAUUGCUCAGACUGCUGGUGAAGGAAAUGUACCAGAUAAUGUGGUGGCUGACCCCUCAUUUUCAUUGAUGCGUUCAUCAGGCCAUCUUCCAGACCCUCAAAUGACCUCAGACAAGGGAGCAGAUGAAUUCUGCAAUGUCAAAAAGCUUGAAAACACAUCGGGUUUUGAAGAGCUGAGGUUGGAUGAUAUAGAGCCUUCGAGGUUCAGUUUUAUGACUCAACAAGAAUCAACAUCUAUGGCAGAAGAAUCCAUGGCCUUCGCAUAUAAUGCAGCAUUGGAGCGAGGGCUUGAUUCCACUGUUCAGUUUGAGUGGGAAGCAGCCUACCCGACGAUAGCUGACACAAAUCAGCUUACAACUUUUUGUAUAUGGUGCAAAAUUGAGUUCAAUCAUGAUGCAGUUGACACUGUAACCCAAUCAAAUACACUUGGUUUUAUGUGUCCAGCCUGCAAGGCCAAGAUAUCAGGUCAAGUAAAUGUGCUGGAUGCUGGCUUUCCAAUGAAUUUUGAUCGCCUAUGAACAGUGAUGUGCUGCUCUUAUUUCUUAUGAGAUAUCGAGUAAAAUCUCUUUUCGUGCUGUAACACCACAAUAGAGACGCAGGAAGAAAAAUAGAUUGCUGAUUUGCUUACUGGAUUACAAUUGCACUGCAGUCUUGGACAUGGAGUAGGAUACCUAGUUUUGGUUCAGCAAAAAGAUGGCCACAAAGAGGAUGUCUGUUUGGAGUUCUGCUUGUUGUUGGAGCUAUAAAAUAUUUGGGUUCAAUUCUUCUGAACUUUAUAAAAUCCAUUGAGGUUAGUUGAUUCAAUCUAGCCUUUUGUAUCACAUCAGUCUCAUUUGUCUAGAGGAGGGGAAAGAGGAAUGAAAGAUGAUAAAAGGCAAAUUCGACGCUCACUAGAUAAUUGAUCCGCCUCUUGUUAGUCCUAGGCUUAGUUUAACUUUUUAUUAUAUUACUUUUAGUCCGAAAUGUUUCCUGAUGGGCAGUAAGAUACAGGUGUGGUACAUGAUCAAUUCAAUGAUGCUUGAACUUUUCAUUUA